CGGGCGGAGGUGCAGAUGAGAGCACGCCUGCUUUGGGAGCAGGAGGGUUUCGGUUCGACUCCGAGGCGCCCGAC
rnacentral:tRNA from 1 species